rnacentral:siRNA from 1 species
AGGCCCGCGGAUAAGAGGCCCGAU